rnacentral:pre_miRNA from 1 species
AUUCCCUGCCCACAGUGAGUUUACAGUCUAGAGUCUACAGUCUAGUACAGCCCCCCAACGCUUAUGUACCUAUUGGUAAUGUAUUUAUUUUUAUUAAUGUCUGUCUCCCCCACUAGACUGUAAGCUCACCGUGGGCAGGGAAA